rnacentral:ncRNA from 10 species
CAAUUACAUCAAGAGAGAGCGUAAGCUCCACCAACCAGCCUAAUCGGGCAACGGUGGUUCAACGAUGAGACCGAAAGAGGAAUAACUUAAGUAGGUAACAAUACGAUUGGGC